CCGCCGCCGCCGCUGCCGGACGACGGCCGGAAGAUGGCCUCGCUGGCGAUCCCCGACGAGCUACUAGUGGACAUUUUCCUCCGCCUCCCCACCCCAGAGGACCUCAUCCGCGCCUCCGCCGCCUGCGUCUCCUUCCGCCGCCUCGUCGCCGACCGCUCCUUCCUCCGGCGCUUCCGCAAGAUCCACCCCCCGCCCCUCCUCGGCUUCCUCGACUCAGGUCGGCACCUCUUCCACCCCGCCGUGCCGCCUCACCCCUCCGCGCCGGCGGCCAGCGCCGUCGCCCUCGCCGCCGACUUCUCCUUCGCCUUCCUCCCCGCCCCCGCCCGGGACUGGUCCGUGCGGGAAGUCCGCGACGGCCGCGUCCUCCUCGACAGACCCCGCCGCCACGACUCCGUCGAUGGGUUCGGAGCCCUCUUCAAGGAGAUGGUGGUGUGCGACCCCUUGCACCGGCAGUAUCUCCUGCUCCCCCAAUCCCCGAUGACCUAG
rnacentral:rRNA from 1 species